UACGAAGGGGGCUAGCGUUGCUCGGAAUCACUGGGCGUAAAGCGCACGUAGGCGGAUCUUUAAGUCAGGGGUGAAAUCCUGGAGCUCAACUCCAGAACUGCCUUUGAUACUGGGGAUCUCGAGUCCGGGAGAGGUGAGUGGAACUGCGAGUGUAGAGGUGAAAUUCGUGGAUAUUCGCAAGAACACCAGUGGCGAAGGCGGCUCACUGGCCCGGUACUGACGCUGAGGUGCGAAAGCGUGGGGAGCAAACAGG
rnacentral:rRNA from 1 species